UGUACGGGGGUAUUCCCUGAACAGGAGCGACAUGCGUCACAGCUGUUUCACGUGUGUUUUCGCAGGACUCUCACCACAUUUAUUCCCCACAUUCACGCACACUUGAUUUAGCAGAACAUCCCUCCCUCCCUGCGGCCUCCCACUCAUUCACUCACCCACUGCCUCCCUCCUUCUUGCACCGAUCGAUUCCACGUCGUCGUCGCUCCACGGACGGAGCCGCAUGUCAACAGUCAGUUUCUGUCUCGGCCCCCGUGACGCAGUGCCAGUCAGUCAGUCAGUGUGUUGCCCUAACACACUUCGACAUGUUCCUCGCACCACCACCGUCUCCGCAUCAGAUCACGUACACCUCUGCCAUUUUCUGCUCUUUCUGCAGGUUUCAGCACCGCGGCGCGCGGACGGCGACUGACUGGCGCUCGAGGCCCGGCGGUUACGGCGGAGACAGACACAGCAGGAACUGAGGAAGAAUAUUAUCGACACGGAGGAGGAGAAACGGAAUGGAAGGCAAAAAGAUGGAGAAGAACAAGUUACUAGAGGACCAGCUGACACAUGCUGUCUUUCAGAAUGAAGUUAGAGGCCUGCUUAAGAAAUCUCAGACUGUGAACAAGUAAAUCACUGCUAAUUUCAUGUUGGAUCUGUUGUGCUACAGUGCUUAUGUAAUGUGGUUUCAAGAAAUAAAAACAUCCAGGUAA